UAGCCAGUUACUAGUAGCCAACUUUUCUCUUUUUAAGUAGCCAGUUACUAGUAGCCAACUUUUCUCUUUUUAAGUAGCCAGUUACUAGUAGCCAACUUUACCGAUCUUGCAAAAUGUAGGCCUAUGCUCACUGUCAUGAUCGUGUGCAGGAUUGGACAAAACAAGAUGGCAGAUGGCAUUUCCAAACAAAGAUCCAGUCAGAAGCGGACUUCCUUAAGCUUAAAAGUUGCAAGUGAAUGAAGUGUGUUCUAUUUUAUGUCUCCUACUAAAACCAUGGGUUUGACAAACCUAAAAGAGAACGUGGAGCAAGGAACUAUCAGUAAGCCGGAAGAGCCAGCUCGAAAAUCUUUAAGUGUUUGAGAAUUUCACCGCGCACAUGAAUCUAAAGUUCUGCCACACGUUAGAAGGAGCCUUGUUCUCGACGAUCAACGUGUUGAAAAGUCUUCAUUUUGCAGAAGCAAAUACAUUUAUAUUGUAUAUACACAUGUAAACCAUGUUCGAUUCCCAACCACUUAAGGUUUGUGAUAUCUGCAUGGAAUUAUUAAAACUGAGCAUGGUUUGACGUAUAAUAAUCUCUUCAGGCAUGAUGGUUUACAUUUCACAAAGCUGUUCAAUGACAAUAAAGACUAUAAGAUGU